rnacentral:misc_RNA from 1 species
UAUACAACCUACUAACCUCG